rnacentral:snoRNA from 1 species
UCUAAGUGUUGAGCCUAGGUCAGGGCUGCUUCCCAGUUCUGGUAAUUAAGACUUUGGGACAGUAAAACACAACUGGGUAGAAGGUAUAGGUAUUUCUCCACUCAUUCCCUUCACAGCUUACAAAA